rnacentral:rRNA from 1 species
UACGUAGGGUGCGAGCGUUGUCCGGAAUUAUUGGGCGUAAAGGGCUCGUAGGCGGCCAACUAAGUCAGACGUGAAAUCCCCAGGCUCAACCUGGGAACUGCGUCUGAUACUGGAUGGCUUGAAUUCGGGAGAGGGAUGCAGAAUUCCAGGUGUAGCGGUGAAAUGCGUAGAUAUCUGGAGGAAUACCGGUGGCGAAGGCGGCAUCCUGGACCGACAUUGACGCUGAUGAGCGAAAGCUAGGGGGAGCAAACGGG